UUCUCCUUAGUCCAUCGAACCUAAUACUGUCUUUUUUAAAUGUUAAUGUAAAAUAAAGAUACGACUUUCUCAAUUGUCUUCACCAAACUCCAUUAUCUCUCCUUCUCAGUAUCUGAAAUUCUAUUUUCUCUUGUUCUCAAUCUCAUAAACAUCAAUUGACCCUGACAACUCCCGCAACGAAACCAAAUUGUUUCAACCUAAUAUGUGGUAUAUAUAUGUUUUUCACCCAUCGUCUCUUAACCACCGCCGAACAACACCUCACACACAUCCUUGUUCCGAGACCAAUUAUGGAUUCGAUUUCAAAAAGACGUAAGGGUGGAUACAGGGUAAUGGAUGUGGAGGAGAGGGAGAGGUGAUGAUGGAGAAGAUGGAAAUAAAAGCUGAGGAGAGUUUGAUUUGUUACUUAACCUGAGACUGGAAUAUUAAAGGGGUUUGGGUUUGUCACUUUCAAGGAUGAUAAAUCCACGAAGAAUUCUAUGGAAGGGAUGAACGGACAUAAGCUUGAUGGUCUCUAUGAGCAAGGCACAGUCUCGUUGAAGCGGUGGCGGUGGAGGGCGUGGUGGAGGCGGUGGUGUUUUGUGUUUAUGUAGAAGGCGGUGGUGGAAAACAUGAGCGUGUAUACAGUGGUGGAAGUGGCUACUUAAGUGGCGGUAGAUACCGCAGUGGAGGCUGUGGUGGUGGAAGACGUGAGGUUGGGGCAUACAGAGGUGGAGGCCGUGUUAAGUGGCGGUAGAUACCGCAGUGGAGGCUGUGGUGGUUGUGGAAGAGGCGGUGGUGGAUACAGAGGUGGAAGACGUGAGGGUGGAUACGGUGCUAUUGGAGAGAGGAAGAGGUGGUGGUUGGGGAUACGAAGGUGGUGAAGGUGGAGGGUACGAAGGAAGUCUUGGUGUUGGUGUUUGGUAAUUAGAUUCAGGUGUUGAGAUUGUUACGAUUGUUUUGUUUGGAUUGUAACAUUUCGAAAUUAAAUAUUUGAUUUUUGAAAAAACAUUAAUAGUUUA